UACGGGGGGAGCAAGCGUUGUUCGGAUUUACUGGCGUAAAGGGCGCGUAGGCGGCCACCGCAAGUCGACUGUGAAAUCUCCGGGCUUAACCCGGAAAGGUCAGCCGAUACUGCGGGGCUAGAGUGCAGAAGGGGCAACUGGAAUUCUCGGGUGUAGCGGUGAAAUGCGUAGAUAUCGAGAGGAACACCUGCGGCGAAGGCGGGUUGCUGGGCUGACACUGACGCUGAAGCGCGAAAGCUAGGGGAGCGAACGGG
rnacentral:rRNA from 1 species